rnacentral:rRNA from 1 species
UACAGAGGGUGCAAGCGUUAAUCGGAUUUACUGGGCGUAAAGCGUGAGUAGGUGGCUCGCUAAGUCGAUUGUGAAAGCCCUGGGCUCAACCUGGGAAUUGCAGUCGAUACUGGAGAGCUAGAGUUCGGUAGAGGGUGACGGAAUUCCCGGUGUAGCGGUGAAAUGCGCAGAUAUCGGGAGGAACACCGGUGGCGAAGGCGGUUCUCUGGGCCUGUACUGACGCUGAGGAGCGAAAGCGUGGGGAGCGAACAGG